rnacentral:rRNA from 1 species
ACGGGGGGUGCAAGCGUUGUUCGGAAUCAUUGGGCGUAAAGCGCGUGUAGGCGGCUUAACAAGUCAGAUGUGAAAUCCCUGGGCUUAACCCAGGAAGUGCAUUUGAAACUGUUUAGCUUGAAUAAGGGAGAGGAAAAUGGAAUUUCUGGUGUAGGGGUAAAAUUCGUAGAUAUCAGGAGGAACACCGAUGGCGAAGGCGACCUUCUGGACCAAUACUGACGCUGAGAUGCGAAAGCGUGGGUAGCAAACAG